rnacentral:misc_RNA from 1 species
GAUGAAGAACGCAGCAAAGUGCGAUAAGUAAUGUGAAUUGCAGAAUACCGUGAAUCAUCGAAUCUUUGAACGCAUAUUGCACUCUCUGGUAUUCCGGAGAGUAUGCCUGUUUGAGGGUCAGUUAAAAAAAAUCAAGCGUUAUUACUUUGGUGAUGACGUUUGGAAUUGAGUCGUCUUAACCCUACGGUCAAGUGACUUAAAAUUUUUAAUGUGAUUUUCGAAACGUAUUUAAUAUUUUACUUACGUUUGCGAUAUCAAAUAAUCUAUUAGAUGUGGUCAUUUUCCAUGAUUCACGUCUAUAGUUUCUCAUUAAAUGACCUCAAAUCAGGUAAGAGUACCCGCUGAACUUAAGCAUAUCAAUAAGCGGAGGA